rnacentral:misc_RNA from 1 species
AGAAGCUAAAGCAUUACUUAGAUAAGCCUCAAAAGCUAACUUGGACAUGUCAUGAACUCUGUCUCAGAGAAUUCCAAAAAUAUUGCCAUCACAUUAAAGAACUUGAAAUAAUAUGUUGUCCUCCAAUUGGAGGAGAUAAUACAAAAGCUCUGAUGAGUAGAAGUAACUUAUUUGAAAAAUUGAAGUCACUACAACCUCACUUGAAACAGAGAUUUGGAAAACUAUUAAAAUUCCUUCCCCAGUUCUUCCACCCUUCUACACUUUUUAUUAUUUCUACAGGCAUCUUCCUCCAUAUCCUGCACUUCUAAAUAAUGCCUGCUUUAUGUCAUCAGAACUUAUCAAUCUUCUCUGCUCCAAUUCCUCUGAACAAGAAGCUUGCAUUGCAAAGUCAUUGAAGCAGCUAAUAACGCACUGUUGAAUCUCAAGGCCUAAUGCUUCUAAAGUAUUUACUGUUGAUAGCAAAAGCCCUGGCUUCGCUGCGCAGCAAAUCUCAAUCCGAGUAGCUUCAUUUACUCUUUCUACGUCAAA